rnacentral:rRNA from 1 species
CCUACGGGAGGCAGCAGUGAGGAAUAUUGGACAAUGGAGGCAACUCUGAUCCAGCCAUGCCGCGUGCAGGAUGACGGCCCUAUGGGUUGUAAACUGCUUUUAUGUAGGAAGAAACACUCUCACGUGUGAGAGCUUGACGGUACUACAAGAAUAAGGACCGGCUAACUCCGUGCCAGCAGCCGCGGUAAUACGGAGGGUCCAAGCGUUAUCCGGAAUCAUUGGGUUUAAAGGGUCCGUAGGCGGGCUAUUAAGUCAGAGGUGAAAGUUUGCAGCUCAACUGUAAAAUUGCCUUUGAAACUGGUAGUCUUGAAUUAUUAUGAAGUGGUUAGAAUAAGUAGUGUAGCGGUGAAAUGCAUAGAUAUUACUUAGAAUACCAAUUGCGAAGGCAGAUCACUAAUAAUAUAUUGACGCUGAGGGACGAAAGCGUGGGGAGCGAACAGGAUUAGAUACCCCUGGUAG